rnacentral:tRNA from 1 species
GCCGAGAUGGUGGAAUGGUAUACACGCAGGACUUAAAAUCCUGUGGUCCAAUGGACCGUGAGGGUUCGAGUCCCUCUCUCGGCA